ACAGUAGGAGUUUGUAAAUGAGAGUUGAUAAUUUUGUGAAAAAGAGAAAAAUGAUUCGCACAAAAACUUUUCCAAAGUUUGGAGAAUUUUUCUUUAAAAAAUUUGUAAAUUGGCAUAAACAUUCCUUCACAACAGAAGGAUCACAAGGACAGACAACCUCAACUAGACUAAGGAUUUUUCUUUGGUCAAGAAAUGCAGUGAUCCUAUGUCUAUCAAACUCAUCCUUGGAAAUUUUCUUUUCCUCAUUGAAUUGACAAUUCAUGAUUUGAGGACUCAAAUUUGAAUCAGAUUCAAAAUAAAAAAUAGGACUGAAGGCAUUGUUUACCGCAAACGGAGUUGACAAAUCCUUCCCAUCCAAGUCUAGCUCUUCUUCCUCAGAGGAUUCCUCUUCUUCUGAGUCUUCAAGUUCAUCUGGGAUGGAUGCUGGCUCAGGUGAUGCAACAGGUGGGACAACAUCUUCU
rnacentral:lncRNA from 1 species